UUGAGAAGGCCUAUUUAUAAGCUACUGAAAGAGUUGUGAGAGCAAGGUCAGUACAGCGCACUAGUUGUGGCCAACCACAUUCAUAGAAAUGGGGCUUAAAACAAACAGGGGAGUUGUUUUAUUUUUGUGUCUCGUAUUUCUUUACAUUGGCCAAACAUGUGGUAUAACCCUUGAAAUAGUGCAAAGAGAUGAGAUGCAUCUUGAAAAAAGGUCUGCGAAUAUUCACACUGGGACAAUUACUUUUGGCACAGGUGAUAUUUCACUGGGUCAAAAUCUGGAAUAUGAGAGACGAUAUAUUGGACGAGAAACUGCAGACGGUGGCUCUGUUAACAUCCAAGCCGAUGACCCAGGACUGGUGGGUGGACAAAGCGGUAUUGAUGACUAUAGGGCCUGGCAUCGUAUGCAACCAGAUUUAUUAUGUACUAAUGACCUCAUGAAGUUCUCGGCACAAGGCCCUGGGUGCUAUUCACUCCAGUUAGACAGAGGUGGCAAGCCUCUCUCGCUAACCCAGCUACCACAAGACUGUGGCUACUCUGUGACAAAGGACUGCGGUGGGCCUUGUGUUUCUCGCCUCUCUUGAUGGUUGUGAUAUUGUAAAACAGGGCAAUAGCCACUUGCUGCAGAUGUUGUGGCAAGGCAAUCCAGUAACCCUCUCCUGCCCUGUGUCAAGCUCAGACCAAGUCUCUCCAGUUUUAUCUACUACUCCAGCUCCAACUACCGAAGCACCUUCUACAGCUGCCAAGAUUCCUCCACAGUAUCAACAGUGGACGUAUCCCUCCUUUGGAGGCUACUACCCCCCUUUAAUGCUGGUGCAGACUCCCCCUCAAACUCCAGAAGCGCCAACUACAGCUGCCAAGAUUCCUCCACAGAAUCAACAGUGGAUGUAUCCCUCCUUUGGAGGCUACUACCCCCCUCAAACUACAGCAGCGCCAACUACAGCUGCCAAGAUUCCUCCACAGAAUCAACAGUGGAUGUAUCCCUCCUUUGGAGGCUACUACCCCCCCUCAAACUACAGCAGCGCCA